rnacentral:lncRNA from 10 species
GCACCAGUGAGUGUCAGGUUGUUAAUUGUUAUUAUUACAAUGAUGUCUUUGCUGCCAGUUAGAACAAUUUCCAUCUCAAUAGUGGAUUCACCUAACUUCAUGUGUCCUAGCAGAAGAAAUCUGCUUGUAUGCCUGUCCUGCCAAGAAAAUGCAGGUCACUUCCUCUGGCUUUCUUGCCUUAAGAGUUCCUGUUUCUGCCGAAGCAGAAGCAGGAAGAGAAAGUGACACAGUGAUGUUUGCUGAGCAGAGCAAGAUUCUGUCCAGUGACUUCUUUUUCCCCAAUUAGGAGGGCGUGUGGGCAAGACGUGGAUUGUUCUUUACACUCUCCCCAUCUUUUCAGCUUUUUCCAAGAGGCCUUGAUCUCUAUCCUGAGGCUUUCCUCAUCAGCGCAUGACGUUCAUUUAGACUGAUAAGUCUAAAGAAGAGGUAUGCUGCAUAUAAAUAUGUGGUUCUCACACAUGGGAGGAAUAGUAUAAGACGGUCACAUGAUUGCAGUUUUCAGGAUGAUUUUAUUGUCAAUAACGAGGAGUGCCUUCUCACUGUGCCACAACGAGCACUGUUGGAAUUUAAGAGGGACCCUGGGGAUCAGCUUAUAAACGCCUCUUCGGAUCUUCAUCUGGGAGCUUUUUAUGGAGGGGAUGAAUACCCUGUUGGAUCUGGGAGCUUACUUUGGAGUCCAUUUUCCUCUCGGACUAUAGUAGCUGAUUGAACCUGAGGUUAACCCUAAUAGCAUGAACCACAGACCUCUGAACUUUUCGAGGAUGUAUCUAUUUUGACACUGUCAAUGAAAGAGGACUGCUCUGCCUGCGAACACAGAACGGAACUCUGCUGAGAUAAAAUGUGGCGGCCAUUCAGAACACCACACAUACUUUUCUAAGCACUCUGCUGUAUGAAUAAAUGUUGUCACUACAAGGCAAAUUUACAAAGGCAGAAGAACCAGGAAGAUCCUGAUAAAGACACUGCACUCCACCCAGAUUCCCUUGGAGUCUAUGCGCUGUUUCUGGGCUCAUCCUCCAGCCUCAGUGUGUUUGCUACCACACAGCAUGUCCUGUGGGACAGGAGAAAUAUGGAGAAUGCAGCACACUUGCUUCCUACCGAAGUAGGUAUUUUCUUUCCAGAUUUCCUUCAGUUGUGAAGUCUGACGAUUUCAAUUUUUUUGGAUGAAAUAGAAAAUGCUCACCUAAAAAUGUAAGUCAGAUUUGUUAAAAUCACUUCCAAAGGAUACUGAUAUGUCAGGUAGCGUUUGCAUACACAAUAAUUUCUUUAAAAUACAUUUUCCAGGUGGAUUUAUUAUUAUAGCCAUAUUGAAAGUAAUUUUCCUUAUUGUGGAGAAAGAUACAAUAGUCUAGCUUAGCCCAAUUCUAUUAACAGGUAACUCUUUUAACCAACUCCUCUUGUUUUGAUUGCAUGCUUAUGUGUGCUAAGCUGCCUUUCUUGGAUGGCCUCCAAAUUAUUACCAUGUCUUGACAUUCAUGCUCUGUUUUAUCUUG